AUAGGUUCUGUGAACACAUCAAAACAAUGGAAAUAAUUUGAUCUGUCUAGAAUUUAUGACAAACUUCAUUAUACAGUUGACUAUGUUUCCUGCUGCAUUUUAUCACUUUAGAUUUUAUUAGACACAGUUUCUUCCCUAGAAUAUCCUGUCAUAGUAAUUGAGGUAGUCAGUUAAGUAGUUUGCGUAUCUGAGUCAUUAGGUUCUCAGAAUACAUUAGCAGUUUCUGAAUUUUGUCCUUUAAGGAUUUUGUCAUAAUCAGAUAUUAAUCUUCUCAUUCUAGCUAAAACUAAAAGUCUUGCUACAGCAAAAGACUAUUUAUGUUAUUUUCCCUAACUGUUAAAUACACUUGCAUUAAAAUGUUACUCUAUGAUGUUUGAAAUAAGCUGCUGAUUUUUCCUGUACAGAACAAGCAACAGUCAGGCACCAGGUGGUGCCAAAGAUAAGCCGGAAAAGAAAGUGAAACAAGUGCAAGGAGUGCUCAGAAAGAGCAAAGAACAACUGCAAGAUACUCAGUUUCUGUUUUCAGUAAAUUAGGAGCAAUGUACCGUAAUGUCAGCAGUAUGGUGAGAUUAGGAACGAAACCAUUUGCAGAGGUGAAGAAUAGUACAAAAAUAUGUCACGAAUGAGCAAUAAUCUGUGUUCUUAUCGUCUAGCUUUAAGAUUCUGAUAUGCUUUUAAAACAAACUUAACAGCUACAGAGCAAAAGUACCAUGUAAAGAUGUACAGUUAAACUGGGAGGAUAUGUACAUCUGUUUUUAUUUGCACAAGGCAAAUAUAAUAUUUGAAUUUUUAAAUAUAAGAGAGUUAAAAUGAAGCAUACAACCAAAAUGAACUUAGCCAGGCAUCAUCUGUAGUUUAGCCUUUUGGUGGUUCUGGGGUUGUCUGAGCGGAGUUGAGGAAGUGCCUCUGGCAAACCAGCGUAAUGUUCCUGAGUUGUGACACUUAGGUCUGUGUGCCAUGUACCAUCUUGCUCCACGUCAGAUACCAAAAAUUAUGAGAGUUUGAAACCAGCUGUUGAAUGAGAAAGGAGGAAGCGGGUUGUUCCUUUUUUUUUUUUCUCAACAAAACUGUGUCAGAGCUGCUGUUGAGCAAGAUGGGUGGUAUUCUGUUCACCAGUUGAUGGUGACAUGGGAAUGGUGGUUUUCAUCUAGAUUUUAGAGAGUGAAUAUGCUAUAAAUACAGCAUUAAGAGGUGUAAUAUAGGACAGGAAAUAUAGAAGCAGGGAAUAAUCCCUGUUGCUGUCAUCAUUGUUCAGUGUGUUCCUUAGGGAAUUUUACGUGGGGAAAAUUCAAUCACCCAAAAGACCAGUAUUCUCCAGCAGAGUAAUAGAGUAUUUAUAUGUUUGAGAACAUGUUGCUGCAAUGCCUCCCACAGAUAUAACACAGAUUUCAAGUGACUCUACUCAACUUGCUCCAGUGCUGCCUUGGUCAGGUGUCCUCAUCUGGAGAACUUGGUUAUUUACAGCUGAUGUUAUGUGGUGUGCAUAUAUAGUUUACACUGGCCUUUGCCGUGUUAGACACUUUGAAACAAUUUACGCAGGCAUAGGAUGAUGUUUGCAUGUGACAUCAAACAGUCUUUGUGAACGGACAUACUUUCCUGGUUGACUUUGUGACAUUAAUAGUUAAGAUGACGUUUUCCUGAUGUACCAGCAGAGGGCAUCGAGUUCCUCGAGUCUUCAUGCGACUUUCAAAAGCCCACGUAGCGGUGUUUGAACAAGGAACAGGUUGGGGGGCAUAGUGGUUAUUUCAAAGAUUGCUUUGAGAAAGCAACGGCAAGUGUUUUAAUAGUCUAUGAUAUAACAUUCCCUCUUUUCUGUAUAUCGAUUUUCUUUUAUCUAAAGGCAUUCAGAUGCCUGUAUCCUCACUCAAGUUUCUGCUCACCAAUUUAAAUCCUUUUCCUGGCAGAGCAGACACUACGAUCAAGAAGUUAUUUUCCCAGGAUGCGGCUCAUCCUCUGUGCCAUGGGUGUUCACCUGGAAAGAAACUUGAUGCCAUAAACUUGUAAGUUAUCGUAUAUGGAACACAGCAAAAUAUAUAUUUUUUUUUAAUUUACUGAUUCUAUUAAUUCAUUCCUUCCUUACUGGUUUUCAUGGCAAACUGACGUACAACAAAAUGGAUGACUGGUACAAUGUUCCUUUAUGACUAAUUCAUUUUCAGCAUGCCAUGAAGCUUUUGUGGGAAGGAGUGAGUACUGUCUAAAUCUGAAUAAAUCAUUUAACUUCUUUGUUACUGUAGUUGUAUUUUAUGCCAAUAGUACUUAGACUGUAAUAAAAAAACCCCACCAAACCUGAAAAACAGUACAAUGAAAACAUACUUUUAGAUUUAAGUGAAAGUUAAUAUUAUGGUUGCUUAUGGUUAAGUUCUCUCCUACAUAUGUAGGCUUCUACAUCUAAAAAUGCUGAUUGUGCACUGACUCUUUUAAAAAUCAAAAGAAAAUGCUAGGACCUCAACACUUUUUAAUCCAUGCCUAUUUGUUUGGGGUCAACAAAUAAUUAAGAACCUUACCUCUGAGACAAAUUAUUUUUCCAGGUUUGAAAAUGAAAAUAAGAUUUAAAAAUAAAGUUAUUUUAUUCCUUAUGUGUAUACAAACUUUGAAACAAAGCUUUGAGUGCUGCAGUAUAUUUCAGAAAAUAAAAUGUCAUGUACGGUGUUCUUGCUGUAGAGAGAGCAAGCUUUGAAAGCAAGUCAGCCAGCAACAAAAUUACCAGUCUUUAGUCUUCAAGACAUUAGGGGGCACCACGACUUCACAGACUUAAAAUGCUGUAAAUUAAAGUACAGUCACUUUUCCUGUCCAAAGUAAACAGGAAACAGCAUAAAAUAGCAAAAUCAACUCCUGGAGUCAUUCCCUAGUGCGAGAUUAUGAUACAGUUCUCAGUAAAAUUUCCAACAGAAGACAACACAGACAUUUAGUAGAAUAUAGAUUACACCCUCUUUUCUGUAAGAGUAAUAAAACUAACAAACUAAUGGAUGCAAUAUAAGCAGCUUGCUUUCAAGGCUUUAUUUAAAUCUUAAAUUUUCCUUCAGAGUUUCAUUCUGGGAAUACAACAUUUUCAGCUCAAGCCUCGAAGGCAUUACAGCGUUAGUUCAACCCGUAGAGCAAAGCUCUGUAUAGGGAGGGAGCGCACAGUGAGCUUGGGAUGGAGCUGCUUUAAAUCCAGGUCCCUGAACUGGGUAUCGUGCUUGGGGGAGUCACCAUAAACUAUCAGACUGCACCACCAAACGCGUGUGCUGUAACGAUGAUGUGUAAAUCUCACACCGCUACAAGGGACAUUAACAGUCUUAGCUCUGACACACCGACAUGGCAGAUGAUUUACUCAGCAGGUGAUGUACCUAGCAAACAUGUCUGGGAAGGAAUUGCAAAGAUGCAUGUCUGCGCAGAGGGAAGAAAGUGUCUGUUCAGAGGGUUGCUGGUCUUGAAGAGGGAUGACAGCUGUGACUUCAAACGCUGAUUUGCAGGCCUGAAAACCAAGAUGCCUUGCUGUUGUUCCUCUGCAGCUGAAAUGAUGACAUGCUUGAUGUAAUAGAGAUUAGCAGCUGGACAACAAGCUUAUAAGCAAAAUGCCUGUCAUUCCUGGAAGACUCACGCUGCUCUCCCUAGAGUUCUUAUGGUUUCACCUAGACACCUGAGGCCUUACUCGCAUCAGCUGUGAAGGAUGAUUUUCAAUGGAAAUCUACACUGUAAAAAAUACCCAGAUGUAACAUUUAAGAAUAUAUGGUCUACUGCAUAAAAUGAAAUCAUGUGGUAGUAGCAUGCUUGGAGUAUGGAUAAAGUAAUCAACCAACUAAAAUUUCAUGGUGGAAGAUGACUAGCAGUAGGGAAAAGUAUGUCACAAUAUACGAGAAACUCAUCUAAUUUAUGCAAGUGGAAAACAUGACUCAUAGUCUUUGGAGCUGGGCUGGGGAGUGACUGGAUUUCACAAAGUAAAACAGCGUUCUGUUGCUACAAUUUCUACUUUCUCUACUGCCUGAAUAUGGACACCUUAGUAAAAAUCUUGCCAUGAAUGGAGGCUGUGGUUAGAACUAAUGGAGUACCAGAGGUCCCGGUUAGUGUGGGAGGUGGACUAGGGCAGUCAGUAGCUGCUAGAGAUUAUCGCUCCUCUACAGCCUGAAAUAGCCGAGAGGGUCAGUGUGUCAGCCUACAAACCUGUGUACGUGAUGAUCAAGAUCUGGGUUGCUAUACUGGCAGAAAUCAUUUUCUCAUGUGAUCGGUCACACAAAGAAAAGAUUAUUACCCCUAGGAACUCUCUCAGACCUUCUGCAUCAUAAGUUUGUGCCUAAAGAUAUGUAUACUAUGGAUAUAUGUGAAUACAAAGCUUGUGAAGAAUAAUACAUGUAUGAGCUAUAAUAUGGUACCUGAGAAAAUACAUACAGACCUGUUUU